GGGCUGAUAGUAUAGACUGGUAGUAUACCUGCCUUGCACGCAGGGGGUCGGGGGUUCAAAUCCCCCUCAGUCCACCA
rnacentral:tRNA from 3 species